rnacentral:rRNA from 1 species
CCUACGGGUGGCUGCAGUGAGGAAUAUUGGUCAAUGGACGAGAGUCUGAACCAGCCAAGUAGCGUGAGGGAUGACUGCCCUAUGGGUUGUAAACUUCUUUUAUAAGGGGGUAAAACGAGGUACGAGUGCCUUUUUGACUGUACUUUACGAAUAAGGAUCGGCUAACUCCGUGCCAGCAGCCGCGGUAAUACGGAGGAUGCGAGCGUUAUCCGGAUUUAUUGGGUUUAAAGGGAGCGUAGAGGGGUUGUUUAGUCAGUUGUGAAAGUUUGGGGCUUAACCGUAACAAUGCAAUUGAUACUGGCAGGCUUGAGUACAGUCGAGGUAGGCGGAAUUAGUGGUGUAGCGGUGAAAUGCAUAGAUAUCACGAAGAACACCGAUAGCGAAGGCAGCUUACUAGACUGUGACUGACACUGAUGCACGAAAGUGUGGGUAUCGAACAGGAUUAGAUACCCUAGUAGUC